GACGGGGCCCGCACAAGCGGUGGAGCAUGUGGUUAAUUCGAAGCAACGCGAAGAACCUUACCAGGUCUUGACAUCCCCUGACAACCCAAGAGAUUGGGCGUUCCCCUCGGGGGACAGGGUGACAGGUGGUGCAUGGUUGUCGUCAGCUCGUGUCGUGAGAUGUUGGGUUAAGUCCCGCAACGAGCGCAACCCUCGCCUCUAGUUGCCAGCAUUCGGUUGGGCACUCUAGAGGGACUGCCGGCGACAAGUCGGAGGAAGGUGGGAUGACGUCAAAUCAUCAUGCCCCUUAUGACCUGGGCUACACACGUGCUACAAUGGGCGGUACAAAGGGCUGCGAACCCGCGAGGGGGAGCGAAUCCCAAAAAGCCGCUCUCAGUUCGGAUUGCAGGCUGCAACUCGCCUGCAUGAAGCCGGAAUCGCUAGUAAUCGCGGAUCAGCAUGCCGCGGUGAAUACGUUCCCGGGCCUU
rnacentral:rRNA from 1 species